UGGGGAAUUUUGGACAAUGGGCGCAAGCCUGAUCCAGCCAUGCCGCGUGCAGGAAGAAGGCCUUCGGGUUGUAAACCGCUUUUGUCAGGGAAGAAACGAGUUUCUCUAAUACAGAGACUUAAUGACGGUACCUGAAGAAUAAGCACCGGCUAACUACGUGCCAGCAGCCGCGGUAAUACGUAGGGUGCAAGCGUUAAUCGGAAUUACUGGGCGUAAAGCGUGCGCAGGCGGUUAUGCAAGACAGAUGUGAAAUCCCCGGGCUCAACCUGGGAACUGCAUUUGUGACUGCAUAGCUGGAGUGCGGCAGAGGGGGAUGGAAUUCCGCGUGUAGCAGUGAAAUGCGUAGAUAUGCGGAGGAACACCGAUGGCGAAGGCAAUCCCCUGGGCCUGCACUGACGCUCAUGCACGAAAGCGUGGGGAGCAAACA
rnacentral:rRNA from 1 species